rnacentral:rRNA from 1 species
GACGAACGCUGGCGGCGUGCUUAACACAUGCAAGUCGAACGGUAAGGCCCUUCGGGGUACACGAGUGGCGAACGGGUGAGUAACAAGUGGGUGGUCUGCCCUGCACUUCGGGAUAAGCCUGGGAAACUGGGUCUAAUACCGGAUAGGACCACUGCCUGCAUGGGUGGGGGUGGAAAGCUUUUGCGGUGUGGGAUGGGCCCGCGGCCUAUCAGCUUGGUGGUGGGGUGAUGGCCUACCAAGGCGACGACGGGUAGCCGGCCUGAGAGGGUGACCGGCCACACUGGGACUGAGAUACGGCCCAGACUCCUACGGGAGGCAGCAGUGGGGAAUAUUGCACAAUGGGCGCAAGCCUGAUGCAGCGACGCCGCGUGAGGGAUGACGGCCUUCGGGUUGUAAACCUCUUUCAGCACCGGCGAAGCGCAAGUGACGGUAGGUGCAGAAGAAGGACCGGCCAACUACGUGCCAGCCGCCGCCGUAA